AAAGGUUUCCAGAGUAAAGCUGAUCUGCUCUGGGUAAGUCGGGGCCUAAGGCGAGGACGAGAGUCGUAGCCGAUGGACAACAGGUGGAGAUUCCUGUACUGCGGUAUGACAGAACUGUGGGGACACGUAAGGAAAGCGGAAGCCGGGAAUGGAGAGCCCGGUGCAAGCGGGGUACCAGUCACUUUGGCAAAUCCGGGUGGCAAUGGGAAGCCGUGAUGCGGAGCGAAAUAAAGUAGCGAAGUCCGUGAGCCAUGCGUCAAGAAAAGCCGCUUUCGUUUAUACCGUACCCGUACCGUAAACCGACACAGGUGGAUGAGGAGAGAAUCCUAAGGCCGGCGGAAGAAGCAUUGUCAAGGAACUCGGCAAAAUGGCCCCGUAACUUAGGGAUAAGGGGUGCCUGGGAAACCAGGCCGCAGAGAAUAGGCUCAAGCAACUGUUUAGCAAAAACACAGGUCUAUGCGAAACCGAAAGGUGAGGUAUAUGGGCUGACGCCUGCCCGGUGCUGGAAGGUUAAGAGGAGAGGUUAGCGGUAACGCGAAGCUUUGAAUUUAAGCCCCAGUAAACGGCGGCCGUAACGAUAACGGUCCUAAGGUAGCGAAAUUCCUUGUCGGGUAAGUUCCGACCCGCACGAAAGGCGUAAUGAUUUGAGCGCUGUCUCGACAAUGCAUCCGGUGAAAUUGAAGUACCAGUGAAGAUGCUGGUUACCUGCGCCAGGACGGAAAGACCCCAUGGAGCUUUACUCCAGUCUGGUACUGGGACUCGGUAUUGCAUGUACAGGAUAGGUGGGAGGCUAGGAGAUGGUAACGCCAGUUGCCAUGGAGCCGCUGUUGGGAUACCACCCUUGCAGUAUUGUGUUUCUAACCAGCCGCCGUGACCCGGCGGUGGGACAAUGCCAGACGGGGAGUUUGACCGGGGCGGUCGCCUCCGAAAGGGUAUCGGAGGCGCCCAAAGGUUCCCUCAGAAUGGACGGAAACCAUUCGAAGAGUGCAAAGGCAGAAGGGAGCUUGACUGCGACACCGACGGGUGGAGCAGGUACGAAAGUAGGGCUUAGUGAUCCGGUGGUAUUAAGUGGGAAUGCCAUCGCUCAACGGAUAAAAGCUACCCUGGAUAACAGGCUUAUCACUCCCAAGAGUUCACAUCGACGGAGUGGUUUGGCACCUCGAUGUCGGCUCAUCGCAUCCUGGGGCUGUAGUAGGUCCCAAGGGUUGGGCUGUUCGCCCAUUAAAGCGGUACGCGAGCUGGGUUCAGAACGUCGUGAGACAGUUCGGUCCCUAUCCGGCGUGGGCGUAGGAUAUCUGAGAGGAGCUGUCCUUAGUACGAGAGGACCGGGAUGGACGGGCCGCUGGUGCAUCGGUUAGACUGCCAAGUCUACGGCCGAGUAGCCAAGCCCGGAAGGGAUAAACGCUGAAGGCAUCUAAGCGUGAAGCCCCCCUUAAGAUGAGAUAUCCCAUUCGUGAAGAAGUAAACCCCCUUGAAGACGACGAGGUAGAUAGGGCAGAGGUGGAAGUGCAGUAAUGCAUGGAGCUGACUGUUACUAAUCGGGUGAGGGCUUGACCG
rnacentral:rRNA from 1 species